GAUGAACGCUGGCGGCGUGCCUAACACAUGCAAGUCGAACGGACAGGCCCUGCUUUUGUGUGGUGCUCGAGUGGCGCAGGGGUGUGUAACACGUGAGUAUCCUCCCCUUGACUUUGUGAUAUCUUCAGGAAACUGCGGCUAAUACCGCAUAGGAGCUCCUGCAGCAUGGUGGGCGUUGGAAAGUUUCGGCGGUUGGGGAUGGACUCGCGGGUUAUCAGCUUGUUGGUCGGGUAGUGGCUUACCAAGGCUUCGACGGGUAGCCGGCCUGAGAGGGUGACCGGCCACAAUGGUACUGAGAUACGGCCCAGACGCCAACGUGAGGCAACAGUGGGGAGUAUUGCACAGUGAGCGGAAGCCUGAUGCAGCAACGCCGCGUGCGGGAUGACGGCCUUCGGGUUGUAAACCGCUUUCGCCUGUGACGAAGCGUGAGUGACGGUAAUGGGUAAAGAAGCACCGGCUAACUACGUG
rnacentral:rRNA from 1 species